rnacentral:rRNA from 1 species
UACGUAGGUGGCAAGCGUUGUCCGGAAUUAUUGGGCGUAAAGCGCGCGCAGGCGGUUCUUUAAGUCUGAUGUGAAAGCCCACGGCUCAACCGUGGAGGGUCAUUGGAAACUGGGGGGCUUGAGUGCAGGAGAGAAGAGUGGAAUUCCACGUGUAGCGGUGAAAUGCGUAGAGAUGUGGAGGAACACCAGUGGCGAAGGCGACUCUUUGGCCUGUAACUGACGCUGAGGCGCGAAAGCGUGGGGAGCGAACAGG